UUAUCCUGUUUAUGGGAUUGUUCAUCAAGUUCUGUGCUGUGCACACACCCAGCUCAAACCCUAACGCCAAACCAGCCUUGAAAUUGACGGACACAUUGAGGCGACGACGCCGUCACCCAGAGCAACAGUAUCGAGCCCAGCAACCAAGAGCAACAUCAAAGAUUUAGGGGCCCAUCGGGACCCCCGCCGCCAUACUCAGCACACGGAGGCCCACCACAGGGGCACAGGAAGGGAGCAGGGGCUAAAGGCGGGAGAUACAAUAAUUUAGAAAUGCGCAAAGUUUGAACCAUAUAUCAUCUAAAUUGAAUUCAUCGUAUUUAAUGAUUUUUUUAACGAAUGUACACUAGAAGAACAACAUUUCCAUAUGUGUUUUGAAUGAUGUAGUCCUUUGGUAUUUUUGAUAAUAUUACAUUUGUGUUAAAGAUACAGAUCUGUGUUCAUUUCUUUGUAAAUCAAUAUGCAAACAUAAUUCCUAUUAUGAAAAACAAUAUGACGGGGUAUUGGGGUUUCAAUUGUUCAUUAUUUUUUAAUAAAUUAUUUCCUUCUGUAUUUUGGUAGAAUGAUAUUACAUUGAGGCAUUUUUGAUUGUUAAGGUCAGGCGACACGUUCCUCAAUUUUAUAUAACUUUUUCCAGGAAUUUGUUGAUGGUUUACAACUAUUUUGACAAGCUUUCUUGCAAAAAAUUAGGGUUCCUUACAAGGCAUUUCUACAAAAUACUAGAGUAUGCAAUUUCCUAUAUAAUCUUCUUGGAAAUACACUCGAAUUGCUGAUGUAAAAAUAAAUACAUAUACAGCACAGCAAAAUUCACUAUAGAGGAACUCUAUCUCGGCCGGAGCAGGGAUUUGAACUCACGACCUCCAGAACAUGUACGCUUCUGGCAGUGAGCGGCCACGGUUCUAACCACUCGGCCAUCUAGACACAUAACCACAUGUAAUUAAAUUUUAAUCAUUUUUAAAAUAAUUAUAAAAUUAAUAAUUUUAUUGGAACUCUCUAUAACGAGGAGAUACAAAAAAGAUUCUUGAAGAACGUGUCGUCUGACCUUAA